rnacentral:rRNA from 1 species
CUUGACACUGAACAUUGAGCCUUGAUGUGUAGGAUAGGUGGGAGGCUUGGAAGUGUGGACGCCAGUCUGCAUGGAGCCGACCUUGAAAUACCACCCUUUAAUGUUUGAUGUUCUAACGUUGACCCGUAAUCCGGGUUGCGGACAGUGUCUGGUGGGUAGUUUGACUGGGGCGGUCUCCUCCUAAAGAGUAACGGAGGAGCACGAAGG